CAGCCGCCGCGGUAACACGAAGGGUGCAAGCGUUAAUCGGAAUUACUGGGCGUAAAGCGUGCGUAGGCGGUUUGUUAAGUCUGCUGUGAAAUCCCCGGGCUCAACCUGGGAAUGGCAAUGGAUACUGGCAAGCUAGAGUGUGUCAGAGGAUGGUGGAAUUCCCGGUGUAGCGGUGAAAUGCGUAGAGAUCGGGAGGAACAUCAGUGGCGAAGGCGGCCAUCUGGGACAACACUGACGCUGAGGCACGAAAGCGUGGGGAGCAAACAGGAUUAGAUACCCCAGUAGUCCCUGUCUCUUAUAC
rnacentral:rRNA from 1 species